rnacentral:rRNA from 1 species
GCAGCCGCGGUAAUACGGAGGAUGCGAGCGUUAUCCGGAUUUAUUGGGUUUAAAGGGAGCGUAGACGGGAGAUUAAGUCAGUUGUGAAAGUUUGAGGCCCAACCUUAAAAUUGCAGUUGAUACUGGUUUCCUUGAGUGCGGUUGAGGUGUGUGGAAUUCGUGGUGUAGCGGUGAAAUGCUUAGAUAUCACGAAGAACUCCUAUUGCGAAGGCAGCACACUAAGCCGCUACUGACGUUGAGGCUCGAAAGUGUGGGUAUCAAACAGGAUUAGAUACCCC